GCAGAGAGUAGUGGGGUGGACCCAUGGCUAUCAUCGGGGUGUGCCACGUGGGGCCUGCCGCGGGAAGUGGAGCGGCGUCCGUUGUCGCGACUCGCCAGUGGAUGGAAGAAUCGCGCGGUAACCGUCUCAGGAAGUGGAGCGGGGUUGUGGCCGUUAUCGUGGCUUGCCAGGGAGUGAUGGAGCUGCGCGGAAUCUGCCGCAGGAAGUGGAGCAGUGCUGUGAUCGUUACUGUGGCUUGUCAGGGAGUGAUAGAGCUGCGCGGAAUCUGCCGCAGGAAGUGGAGCAGUGCUGUGAUCGUUACUGCGGCUUGUCAGGGAGUGAUGGAGCUGCGCGGAAUCUGCCGCA
rnacentral:lncRNA from 1 species